rnacentral:rRNA from 1 species
CGAAAGCCUGACGGAGCAAUACCGCGUGAGGGAGGAAGGUCCUUGGAUUGUAAACCUCUUUUAUCAGGGAAGAAGUUCUGACGGUACCUGAUGAAUAAGCAUCGGCUAACUCCGUGCCAGCAGCCGCGGUAAUACGGAGGAUGCAAGCGUUAUCCGGAAUUAUUGGGCGUAAAGCGUCCGUAGGUGGUCAUGCAAGUCUGCCGUUAAAGAAUGGAGCUUAACUCCAUAGGAGCGGUGGAAACUGCAAGACUAGAGUACAGUAGGGGUAGCAGGAAUUCCCAGUGUAGCGGUGAAAUGCGUAGAUAUUGGGAAGAAC